GCAUGCCGCGGUGAAUAUGUUCCCGGGCCUUGUACACACCGCCCGUCACACCAUGGGAGCCGGUAAUACCCGAAGUCAGUAGUCCAACCUCGUGAGGACGCUGCCGAAGGUAGGAUUGGCGACUGGGGUGAAGUCGUAACAAGGUACC
rnacentral:rRNA from 1 species